CCCUAGAAAGCUUAAAAUAACUUGAAUACAAAGAAAUAACGUUAAAGAAAGUAUUCCUUGCUACUCCGAGAAGGUUGGUACUGCAAAUGGGCAAAAUCAGAAUAUUGCAAUUCUUUAAUCAGUGGUCGGUGAAUAUCUCAGAAACUACUCAGCCACUAUUAAUCAAAUUUGGUAUAUACCAUUCACCUGAUAUCCUUAUGUUACUCUGGUCUAAGUCCGAAUUCAACUACACAUGUGGAAUGCCAUCAUUUUAAAUUCCAACCUAUUAUUUCACUUUACUUUAGAUAUAAAUACAUGAAGCAUCAGUGAAGCUAUCGGCACAAUAACUUUUAUAAAUAUAUAAAUAGAAAAUACUAUGUGAACAACCCUGUAUACGUACAUACAUGUUUAUGUCAACAUUGUUAAAUAAGUAGAUUAGGUUUUUAUUGUUAAUUUUAUUUAAAGCUGCAUUUGCUGUUUCUACAUUUCGUUGCUACGCUUUGCGAUAAGCAAAUGCAUACAUGUGUAUGUGUAUCUAUGUAUACCUGUGUAUGUAGAUAUACUGAACCGCAAUAGAGAUUAUGGAUUCAGCUAAUCCAACGGUCGAAAGAGUUUUAUUACUUAAAGUAGCCAGUAUUUUUAAAACGCGCAAAUUGUCACUUAUCAGUAUUGGGAAACCGAAUACACUUGUGUAACUAUAUGUAUGUAUACAUAUGUAUAUAAAGAUAUGUAAGUAUGCAUUUGUACGAGCUGUUUCCUUUGUUUGAGCAUGUACCAUGAAGAGACUAAUUGUACUCUUCUGACUCCGAUCCGUACAAAAGGGGACUAAUCCUUUUCAAUCUUUUACCUACUAAAACUAAAAAUUCAAAAUAAAUACAAUUAAAAAUGUUUCUUUAUUUAUUAUAAGUUGAGGUAAUAAAAGCUAUAAUACUUUAAAAUUCAAAGUUUUAAACUGAAAUUCAUUUGUGCAUUUAUAUGAUAAAAAUCUGUAGUACUUUAAAAUUUAAAAAGUUUAAGUCACUUAAAUUGGUUUUUCCUUAGACGUUAAAUGUUGUU